CGUAGUCCAGGUCCCAGCCACGAUGUGAUGCAACCGAGAGACUUGCGCUGUAGCUGGUGGCGGUGCUGCACCCUGGGCCGUCCAAAGCUGUGAGCUACGUAACUCUCUCUUAUUAAUAAAGUUAGCCCUCCCCGGGCAGUUAACGGUAGUAAUACCAGAUGGAUUAAUACAUUGUGGCUGGGUGAGAGAGUGAACAGAACCAAGCUAACCUGCCACAGGAGCCGGGAACCAGCCACCCACACCAGCGGAACCAAACUCGUGGCAGAUCUUCAGCAGCGCAGACGUCCUCUUUACCUGUGUACCGCGGGCAGGAACCCUUCCCACAGCUGUGGGUUUCUCUGAGAACAUCCGUAAGCUCACUAACGUGUGCUGAAUGCACCUGACCUGUUGUUUCUUAAGGGUGCUAGGAAUGCUCGUGUCAAUCACCUGGGAAGAUAGGGUCCUCCCACAGGAAGCCGGAUCUUGGAAACUGUGAUUGGUGGCAGAGAAAAAUCCCAUCCUCCCCAGGCUCUACUGUAGAUUUUGGGUGAGCAGAGGCACGGUCUUAAGGAUGUUCCUCUGAGGUGAGAUGGCAGUGGCUCUGUCACUCACUCUCCAGCAACAGGGUGCUUAAUCACAGCAGCAGCAAUGAAAGCAGAACGAUGAUCAGUAAGAGCUGACAGUUGGACGAAAGCCAAGAGUUCAGCACGCGUCACGCAGCACAACUUUAAUCCCACUUCAGCAAGCUACGGACUUGCAAACGCUUUUCCCGGCCCUGACAGGGUUUGUUGUUGUUGUUUGUUUUUUGUUUGCUUGUUUUUACACAAAUGAAGUCGCCUUUUUAACGUGAA